GAUGAACGCUGGCGGCGUGCUUAACACAUGCAAGUCGAACGGAAAGGCCCUGCUCUUGCGGGGUGCUCGAGUGGCGAACGGGUGAGUAACACGCGUGUAACCUCUCCUUGUCAUUGGGAUAACUCUAGGAAACUGCGGCUAAUACCGGAGAGGAGAUCCUGCUGCAUGGUGGGGGUUGGAAAGUUUCGGCGGUGGGGGAUGGUCUCGCGGCUUACCAGCUAGUUGGGGGGGUAGUUGCUUUCCAAGGCUUUGACGGGUAGCCGGCCUGAGAGGGGGACCAGCCUCCAUGGGCCUAAGAGAGGGACCAGAAUCCUACGGGCGGCAGCAGUCGGAAGUAUUACGCAAUGGGGGGACGCGUGUGACGGAGGCCCCGCGUGCGUAAUAACGGCUUACGGGUUAUGAACAGCUUUCGCCUGAAACGUGCCGUGCGUGACGGUAAUUGGUAAGAAAGCACCGGCUAACUACGUG
rnacentral:rRNA from 1 species